UCAAGUUAUUAAGGGUGCAGGGCGGAUGCCUUGGCACUAGGAGCCGAUGAAGGACGUGAUAAGCUGCGAUAAGCUUCGGGGAGUUGCACGUAAACUUUGAUCCGAAGAUUUCCGAAUGAGGAAACUCACUUAGAGUAAUGUCUAAGUAUCAUUAAGUGAAUACAUAGCUUAAUGAGGGGAACUCAGGGAACUGAAACAUCUAAGUACCUGAAGGAAGAGAAAGAAAUUCGAUUCCGUAAGUAGCGGCGAGCGAACGCGGAUUAGCCCAAACCAAUAAAGAAAACUUUAUUGGGGUUGCGGACAUAUCAUAACGAAGAGGUAUCGUAAUUGAAGAGGUUUGGAAAGACCCACCACAGAAGGUAAUAGUCCUGUAUUUUAAACGAGAAGACUUCAGAUAUGAUCCAGAGUACCACGGGACACGUGAAACCCUGUGGGAAGCAGGAGGGACCACCCUCCAAGGCUAAAUACUACCUAGUGACCGAUAGCGUAUAGUACCGUGAGGGAAAGGUGAAAAGAACCCCGGGAGGGGAGUGAAAUAGAACCUGAAACCCUGCACUUACAAGCUGUGGAAGCACAUUUCUUGUGUGACCGCGUACUUUUUGUAGAACGGGCCAACGAGUUACGUUAAGUAGCAAGGUUAAGCACUUAAGGUGCGGAGCCGUAGCGAAAGCGAGUUUUAACUGAGCGUUCAGUUACUUGACGUAGACCCGAAACCGGGCGACCUACCCAUGAGCAGGAUGAAGCGAAAGUAAAAUUUCGUGGAGGUCCGAACCCACGAGCGUUGAAAAGCUCGGGGAUGACUUGUGGAUAGCGGUGAAAUUCCAAUCGAGCCCGGAGAUAGCUGGUUCUCCCCGAAAUAGCUUUAGGGCUAGCCUCAAGGUGAGAGAUACGGAGGUAGAGCACUGAAUGUCCUAGGGGGUAUUGCACCUACCGAAGACUAUCAAACUCCGAAUGCCGUCAUCUUAUACUUGGGAGUCAGACUGUGGGUGAUAAGAUUCAUAGUCGAAAGGGCAACAGCCCAGAUCGUCAGCUAAGGUCCCUAAAUGUAAGUUAAGUGGUAAAGGAUGUGGGAUUGCACAGACAACCAGGAUGUUGGCUUAGAAGCAGCCACUCAUUCAAAGAGUGCGUAAUAGCUCACUGGUCGAGUGAUCCUGCGCCGAAGAUUUCCGGGGCUAAAACUUACUACCGAAGCUACGGCAUCAGUAAUGAUGGGUAGGGGAGCUUCCCAUACGGGUUGAAGCGUGACCGUAAGGACAUGUGGACAGUAUGGGAGUGAGAAUGUUGGCAUGAGUAGCGAGAUGUGGGUGAGAAUCCCACAGGCCGUAAACCCAAGGUUUCCAGGGGAAGGUUCGUCCGCCCUGGGUUAGUCGGGACCUAAGCUGAGGCCGAAAGGCGUAGGUGAUGGACAACAGGUUGAUAUUCCUGUACUACCGAUAACCGUUUGAGAGAAGGGAUGACACAGUAGGAUAAGCUAAGCACACUGUUGGUUAUGUGUGCCCAAGCAUUGAGGCAGUCAAAGUAGGCAAAUCCGCUUUGAUAAUGCUGGGAUGUGAUGGGGAGCGAAAUUUAGUAGCGAAGUAGCUGAUUUCACACUGUCAAGAAAAGUCUCUAUCGAGGUUAAAGGUACCCGUACCGCAAACCGACACAGGUGGGUGAGGAGAGUAUCCUAAGGCCAGCGAGAGAACUGUUGUUAAGGAACUCGGCAAAAUGACCCCGUAACUUAGGGAUAAGGGGUGCCACCAUCAGGUGGCCGCAGAGAAUAGGCCCAAGCGACUGUUUACCAAAAACAUAGGUUUCUGCUAAGUCGCAAGACGAUGUAUAGGAGCUGACGCCUGCCCGGUGCUGGAAGGUUAAGGGGAUCUGUUAGAGCAAUCGAAGCAGUGAACUUAAGCCCCAGUAAACGGCGGCCGUAACUAUAACGGUCCUAAGGUAGCGAAAUUCCUUGUCGGGUAAGUUCCGACCCGCACGAAAGGCGUAACGAUUUGGGCACUGUCUCAACAACAGACUCGGUGAAAUUGUAAUUCCGGUGAAGAUGCCGGAUACCUGCGACAGGACGGAAAGACCCCAUGGAGCUUUACUGUAGCUUGACAUUGGGUCUUGGUACUACAUGUACAGGAUAGGUGGGAGGCUUUGAAACCAGGACGCCAGUUUUGGCGGAGCCAUCCUUGGGAUACCACCCUUGUAGUACUGGGACUCUAACCAUAGGCCAUGAAUCUGGUCUUGGGACACUGUCAGGUGGGCAGUUUGACUGGGGCGGUCGCCUCCCAAAAGGUAACGGAGGCGCUCAAAGGUUCUCUCAGUACGGUCGGAAAUCGUACGUAGAGUGUAAAGGCAAAAGAGAGCUUGAUUGCAAGACAUACAGGUCGAGCAAGGAUGAAAAUCGGACUUAGUGAUCCGGUGGUUCUGCGUGGAAGGGCCAUCGCUCAACGGAUAAAAGCUACCCUGGGGAUAACAGGCUUAUCUCCCCCAAGAGUCCACAUCGACGGGGAGGUUUGGCACCUCGAUGUCGGCUCAUCACAUCCUGGGGCUGUAGUAGGUUCCAAGGGUUGGGCUGUUCGCCCAUUAAAGUGGUACGCGAGCUGGGUUCAGAACGUCGUGAGACAGUUCGGUCCCUAUCCGUCGCAGGCGUAGGAAAUUUGAGAAGACCUGUCCUUAGUACGAGAGGACCGGGAUGGACGUACCUCUGGUGUACCAGUUGUUCUGCCAAGGGCAUGGCUGGGUAGCUAUGUACGGAAUGGAUAAGCGCUGAAAGCAUCUAAGCGCGAAGCCAACUUCAAGAUAAGAUUUCCCACCGCAAGGGUAAGACCCCAGAAAGACUAUCUGGUUGAUAGGUCGAAGGUGUAAGUGCAGCAAUGUAUUUAGCUUAUCGAUACUAAUAGGUCGAGGACUUGACCAA
rnacentral:rRNA from 1 species